rnacentral:rRNA from 1 species
AUAAAAGCAUAUAGUGGAUGCCUUGACCUAAAAUCUCGACGAAGGACGUGGCUAGCUGCGAUAAGUCUCGGUGAGCUGCUAAGCAAGCUUUGACCCGGGAAUUUCCGAAUGGGGUAACCCCUCCAAAUAAACUUUGGAGACUUCCCGCCUAGCGGGAGGGGAAAAGUUGGUGAACUGAAACAUCUCAGUAACCAGUGAAAAGAAAGCAAAAGCGAUUCCCUUAGUAGUGGCGAGCGAACGGGGAACAGUCUAAACCAUAAAGAUGCAAUUGGCUGCAGCCUUAGUCUUUAUGGGGUUGCAAGAUAUUAUUGUUGCAUUCCUGCAUGAAUGCUCAUUUUGGAUUAUUUAUUAGUCGAAUAAUUCUGGAAAGAAUAGCGAUACAGGGUAAUAGCCCCGUAGAUAAAAAUAAUUAAUCUCAAAUGUAUUUUAUCUUAAGUAGGGUCGGACACGAGAAAUCCGGCUUGAAUCCGGCAGGACCACCUGCCAAGACUAAAUAGAUUUUAGGAUCGAUAGUGAACUAGUACCGCGAGGGAAAGGUGAAAAGUACCCCUGUUAGGGGGAUGAAAUAGUAUCUGAAACUGUAUGCUUAAAAGGUGUCGGAGUCCCGCAUUGCGGGAUGACGGCGUACUUUUUGUAGAACGGGCCAACAAGUUAGCUGUAUGGGGUUUGGUUAAGGGAGUAACACCCGGAGCCAAAGUGAAAGCGAGGAUGAAUAAUCCGUUUUUCCCGCCUAGCGGGAAAAAAAUCUCAUGCACUAGACCCGAAACCGAGUGAGCUAUCCAUGGGCAGGUUGAACCUGUCGUAAAAGACGGGGGAGGACCGAACGCACCGCGUAGCUAAGGGGGGACGCAACGGGAUAGUGAGAGCGUGUUAUUGAUUUCACGUGCAAUAAGUAAGUUUAUAUCCUAAUAAUGUAAAUCAGUUAGGAUUCGCGAGCUUAAAUGCAAAAUGCCCCGCAAUUGCGGGGUGAUUCUUGUGGCUUCUGUUGCCAAGAAAAUCCUCGUAGCGAGAAAUAUAUGUUUCCGUACCGCAAACCAACACCGGUGGGUAGGUUGAGUAUACUAAGGUGAUCGAGACAACUAUGCUUAAGGAACUCGGCAAAACAGCGUCCGUAACUUCGGAAUAAGGACUCCCAGCAUUGAUUUAUUAAUGUUGGGCGCAGCGAAAGAACUCGCGCAACUGUUUACCAAAAACACAGGUCUCUGCAAAACCGAAAGGUUAUGUAUAGGGGCUGACACCUGCCCAGUGCCAGAAGGUCACGAGGAGAAGUUCACGCUUUGAAUCUAAGCCCUGGUGAACGGCGGCCGUAACUAUAACGGUCCUAAGGUAGCGAAAUUCCUUGUCAGGUAAGUUCUGACCCGCACGAAUGGUGUAAUGGUGUGAGUACUGUCUCAAGCAUAGACUCGGUGAAAUUACAAUAUCGGUAAAAAUGCCGAUUAACUGCGGCAAGACGAAAAGACCCCGUGCAGCUUCACUACAGCUUGACAUUGGGUUAGGAUAUAUUAUGUGCAGGAUAGGUGGGAGGCGUUGAAGCUCUGACGCAAGUCGGGGUGGAGCCAUCCUUGAGAUACCACCCUUAAUAUAUUUUGACUCUAACCCCGCAUUGCGGGGGACAUUGUUUGGUGGGUAGUUUAACUGGGGCGGUUGCCUCCUAAAGAGUAACGGAGGCGCGCGAAGGUUCCCUAGGCCUGGAUGGAAAUCAGGUCGAUAGUGUAUUCGCAUAAGGGAGCUUGACUGCAAGACCUACAAGUCGAGCAGGCUCGAAAGAGGGCGAAAGUGAUCCGGUAUCUCCACGUGGGUGGGGUAUCGCUCAACGGAUAAAAGUUACGCCGGGGAUAACAGGCUUAUAGCGUCCAAUAGUUCACAUAGACGACGCUGUUUGGCACCUCGAUGUCGGCUCGUCGCAUCCUGGGGCUGGAGAAGGUCCCAAGGGUAUGGCUGUUCGCCAUUUAAAGCGGUACGCGAGCUGGGUUCAGAACGUCGUGAGACAGUUCGGCCUCUAUCUGUCGCAGUUGUAGGAAAUUUGAGAAGACCUGUCCCUAGUACGAGAGGACCGGGAUGGACGAACCUCUAGUGAAUCUGUUGUCUUAUCAAAGGCAUGGCAGAGUAGCUAUGUUCGGAAUGGAUAACCGCUGAAAGCAUCUAAGCGGGAAACCA